rnacentral:rRNA from 1 species
GUGGGGAAUCUUCCGCAAUGGACGAAAGUCUGACGGAGCGACGCCGCGUGAGUGAAGAAGGCCUUCGGGUCGUAAAGCUCUGUCAUCAGGGACGAAUGGCCGGUGGAGUGGAAAGCCACCGGAUUGACGGUACCUGAGAAGGAAGCCACGGCUAACUACGUGCCAGCAGCCGCGGUAAUACGUAGGUGGCAAGCGUUGUCCGGAAUUAUUGGGCGUAAAGCGCGCGCAGGUGGGAUCUUAAGUCCAUUUUGAAAGUUCGGAGCUCAACUCCGUGAUGGGAUGGAAACUGGGAUUCUUGAGUACCGGAGAGGAAAGCGGAAUUCCCCGUGUAGCGGUGAAAUGCGUAGAUAUGGGGAGGAACACCAGUGGCGAAGGCGGCUUUCUGGACGGUGUCUGACACUGAGGCGCGAAAGCCAGGGGAGCGAACGGGAUUAGAAACCCCAGUAGUCC